rnacentral:lncRNA from 1 species
GCUUUAUUCAUUUUUGGUUUCAUAACCAUUACAUUCAGCUUAAACAUAACCUUUUCCGACAAACUACUUUUUAAUAGAGUGACUUUGUCUGACUCAAAUACAAUUCAAAAACCAUGCUUAUUCAAAAGUGACCCGGACACUAAAUUCUUACGAAUUUCUGGCACAAAUAGCACAUUCUUGAGAGUUAGCUCCUUUCCCGAGGUCAUCUUUAGGACCACCUUUCCUUGACCCUUGAUUUCACAGGUUGCUGAAUUUCUCAUGAACAGCUUCUCCCCGUUCUCAAUUGCUUCGAACGUAGCAAACAUCUCUUUAUCAGAACACACAUGCCUUGUAGCACUGGUGUCAAUUCACCACUCCUUAGGAUUUGAACCUACCAUGUUCACUUCAAAAAUGACGGCUGCGAGAUUUAUUUCUGAAACAUCUUGUGCCAUGUAGUCAUCCAUAUUUGCUUCUUUCAUCUUCUUCUUUGACAUUCUAUAUCCCAAAGACUUGUGGCCUACUUUGUCACAAUUGAAGCAUUUCCCUUGAAAUUUCUUCUUAGAAAUUCCACAUUUCGGUCCGUGCUUGGUCUUUUUUCCAUCAGAUGACCUAAACUUGUUUUUGUAAGCUUACUGCUUUGACCAUGCUCCACAACAUUG